CGAAAGCAUGGGGAGCGAACAGGAUUAGAUACCCUGGUAGUCCAUGCCGUAAACGUUGGGAACUAGAUGUGGGGUCCAUUCCACGGAUUCCGUGUCGCAGCUAACGCAUUAAGUUCCCCGCCUGGGGAGUACGGCCGCAAGGCUAAAACUCAAAGGAAUUGACGGGGACCCGCACAAGCGGCGGAGCAUGCGGAUUAAUUCGAUGCAACGCGAAGAACCUUACCAAGGCUUGACAUAUACGAGAACGCUGCAGAAAUGUAGAACUCUUUGGACACUCGUAUACAGGUGGUGCAUGGUUGUCGUCAGCUCGUGUCGUGAGAUGUUGGGUUAAGUCCCGCAACGAGCGCAACCCUCGUUCUAUGUUGCCAGCACGUAAUGGUGGGAACUCAUAGGAGACUGCCGGGGUCAACUCGGAGGAAGGUGGGGAUGACGUCAAAUCAUCAUGCCCCUUAUGUCUUGGGCUUCACGCAUGCUACAAUGGCCGGUACAAAGGGCUGCAAUACCGCAAGGUGGAGCGAAUCCCAAAAAGCCGGUCUCAGUUCGGAUUGAGGUCUGCAACUCGACCUCAUGAAGUCGGAGUCGCUAGUAAUCGUGGAUCAGCAACGCCACGGUGAAUACGUUCCCGGGCCUUGUACACACCGCCCGUCAAGUCAUGAAAGUCGGUAACACCCGAAGCCGGUGGCCCAACCUUUUGGAGGGAGCCGUCGAAGGUGGGAUCGGUGAUUAGGACUAAGUCGUAACAAGGUAGCCGUACCGGAAGGUGCGGCUG
rnacentral:rRNA from 1 species